rnacentral:rRNA from 1 species
CCUACGGGAGGCAGCAGUGGGGAAUAUUGCACAAUGGGCGAAAGCCUGAUGCAGCAACGCCGCGUGAGCGAUGAAGGCCUUCGGGUCGUAAAGCUCUGUCCUCAAGGAAGAUAAUGACGGUACUUGAGGAGGAAGCCCCGGCUAACUACGUGCCAGCAGCCGCGGUAAUACGUAGGGGGCUAGCGUUAUCCGGAAUUACUGGGCGUAAAGGGUGCGUAGGUGGUUUUUUAAGUCAGAAGUGAAAGGCUACGGCUCAACCGUAGUAAGCUUUUGAAACUGAGAAACUUGAGUGCAGGAGAGGAGAGUAGAAUUCCUAGUGUAGCGGUGAAAUGCGUAGAUAUUAGGAGGAAUACCAGUUGCGAAGGCGGCUCUCUGGACUGUAACUGACACUGAGGCACGAAAGCGUGGGGAGCAAACAGGAUUAGAUACCCUGGUAGUCCACGCCGUAAACGAUGAGUGCUAAGUGUUAGAGGGUUUCCGCCCUUUAGUGCUGCAGCUAACGCAUUAAGCACUCCGCCUGGGGAGUACGGCCGCAAGGCUGAAACUCAAAGGAAUUGACGG